GGGUGUAGCUCAGUUUGGUAGAGCGCUUGGUUCGGGACCAAGAGGCCGUGGGUUCAAGUCCCGCCACU
rnacentral:tRNA from 1 species